GCAGCGCCAGAUGCUGCUUCACUCUCACUGGGUACUGAGAUCCAGGGAGGGAAACCACCUCCAUGGCACACAGCAAGGCAGGCGCCAACUCCCAGGCUUUUCCCGGGCUGCCCCUCCGAGCAGCACAGUGAGGACUCGAUUGGUCUGACAACUAGGCUAAAGGAAGUAACUCAGAGAAAGGCUGUCUUCAGUUACCUGGACAUUGAAGCUGCUCUGCCUUGAAGGAAAAGACGGCGUCUCUAGGGAUGAACUGAUGUUGGGCAGAGAAUUCGGAAAUGCUCCUGGCGCUGCAGGGCUGACUCCAAUCUGCUUUUCUACGAAGCCUCUAUCAUCUUAGCACCGUUAAAAGGGCAACUGUGGUCAGGGCUGCUGCGGAAAAGGGCUGAACCCAUGAGGCUCUGCGUUGGAGGCCGUCCCAGAGGAAGUGAUGGUGAACUGAUACGGAGGCACAGAUUCAGGCAACCCGACUUCAGAUGGCCAUGCAAGAAUGCCGAUCCCUUCCCUUGGCAGACGGCUCCAGCAAGCUCCUGGUUGUGCAGGGGAAUUUGGUUUUGUCCUACCUAAACCUGUCCCGGACAGCCAGCAAGAGACUGAGACCCAUAGGUCAAUGCCCACUGGCAGCAGGAAGAAGUUACAGAAGCCAGACCAUCGCCCUUCAACUUCCCAAAAGCUUUUGGGUCCCAGUGUCUUGAGGGGGGAUGUUAGAAUAGGUAGUUAGUUAGACAUGAGCUGGGGCAGGCGAAAGAGAGAAAGGGCGUAGAUUAUCUUUGUGCAUUCCUGUACGUCUAUAGGGCCUAAGGUAAAAUGUUUAAGCCAAAACAGAUUUCCCCAUACCUGGACUUAAGAUCAUCAGAUCUCUGAUUCACUCUCAGGAUGUUGUUCAGCCUCAUAGGUCACCAGUUCCAGUCGCCUAGCAGGUGCAUGGGUGGUUAAGCAAGAGGGGCGAGCUGAAGGGACAGGAGCAGAGAAGUCCAGGAAGGCAAAGCCCACAAAUACUGAGUUCUGUAACUGAUCAGGGCACUCUCACUCUGAGGUGCUCACUCAGGCCCGUCUGAGGAUAUUUCCGGACUGCCAAUAAACUCUUGCUUGCU